GACGAACGCUGGCGGCGUGCUUAACACAUGCAAGUCGAACGGAUCACCUUUGCUUCGGUUUUGGUGGUUAGUGGCGAACGGGUGAGUAACACGUGAGCAACCUGCCCUUCACUGGGGGAUAACUGUGGGAAACUUCAGCUAAUACCGCAUGUACACCUUCUAUCGCAUGGUGGUUGGUGGAAAGUUUUUUCGGUGGGGGAUGGGCUCGCGGCCUAUCAGCUUGUUGGUGAGGUAAUGGCCUACCAAGGCUUUGACGGGUAGCCGGCCUGAGAGGGCGACCGGCCACACUGGGACUGAGAUACGGCCCAGACUCCUACGGGAGGCAGCAGUGGGGAAUAUUGCACAAUGGACGGAAGUCUGAUGCAGCAACGCCGCGUGCGGGAUGACGGCCUUCGGGUUGUAAACCGCUUUCACCAGGGGCGAAUUUGACGGUACCUGGAGAAGAAGCACCGGCUAACUACGUGCCAGCAGCCGCGGUAAAAC
rnacentral:rRNA from 1 species